rnacentral:rRNA from 1 species
UACAGAGGUCUCAAGCGUUGUUCGGAUUCAUUGGGCGUAAAGGGCGCGUAGGCGGCUUUGCAAGUGACGGGUGAAAUCCCUCGGCUUAACCGAGGAACUGCCUGUCAAACUGCAUGGCUUGAGACCGGGAGAGGUGAGUGGAAUUCCCAGUGUAGCGGUGAAAUGCGUAGAUAUUGGGAGGAACACCAGUGGCGAAGGCGGCUCACUGGACCGGUACUGACGCUGAUGCGCGAAAGCGUGGGGAGCAAACAGG